rnacentral:rRNA from 1 species
UGGGGAAUUUUGCGCAAUGGGGGAAACCCUGACGCAGCAACGCCGCGUGCGGGAUGACGGCCUUCGGGUUGUAAACCGCUUUCAGUAGGGAAGAACAUCGACGGUACCUACAGAAGAAGCCCCGGCUAACUACGUGCC